GGGGGAGUUUUUAAGUUGGUCUAGAGGUGGUCGGUCGGCAGGGAGCUCAGUGCACAGUCUACACGGGCAGGUCGGCAGUCACUGCCCUGUGAAGAGGGGCGCACGUCUCCCGGUUUCACAUCAGGUGUUGGCUAUCAAGGCAGUGGCGGACUUAAGACGAGUACCUUCUGUAUUUUAUGGGGAUUCACUAAAAGGCAACUAGGAGACUGGGCAAUGCAGGACUAAAGCGUAAACAUAUCCACUUGCCAUAAUUAAGAAAAAACUCAGUACUUUACCUAUGGGAAAUCAGGACAGAUGUAGAUGUUUUUAUAUGAAUUCUCAAUUUCUAUUUAGUCAUCUACUUACAUUAAUAAAAAUGAAAUUAGUGUGCCUUUUCUGUUAAAGCACU